AGUGGCGGACGGGUGAGUAACGCGUGGGCAACCUACCCCACACAGGGGGACAACAGUUGGAAACGACUGCUAAUACCGCAUAGGCGCACAGCUUCGCAUGAAGCAGUGUGGAAAACCGAGGUGGUGUGGGAUGGGCCCGCGUCUGAUUAGCUGGUUGGCGGGGUAACGGCCCACCAAGGCGACGGUCAGUAGCCGGCCUGAGAGGGUGGACGGCCACAUUGGGACUGAGACACGGCCCAAACUCCUACGGAAGGCAGCAG
rnacentral:rRNA from 1 species